rnacentral:rRNA from 1 species
UACGUAGGGUGCAAGCGUUAAUCGGAAUUACUGGGCGUAAAGCGUGCGCAGGCGGUGAUGUAAGACAGGUGUGAAAUCCCCGGGCUUAACCUGGGAACUGCAUUUGUGACUGCAUGGCUGGAGUGCGGCAGAGGGGGAUGGAAUUCCGCGUGUAGCAGUGAAAUGCGUAGAUAUGCGGAGGAACACCGAUGGCUGAAGGCAAUCCCCUGGGCCUGCACUGACGCUCAUGCACGAAAGCGUGGGGAGCAAACAGG